CACGUAGGGGGCGCGCGUUGUCCGGCUUUCUUGGGCGUAAAGAGCUCGUAGGCGGUUCGGCAAGUCGGGUGUGAAAUUUCGAGGCUCAACCUCGAAACGCCACUCGAUACUGCUGUGACUGGAGUCCGGUAGAGGAGUGCGGAAUUCCUGGUGUAGCGGUGAAAUGCGCAGAUAUCAGGAGGAACACCAACGGCGAAGGCAGCACUCUGGGCCGGUACUGACGCUGAGGAGCGAAAGCGUGGGGAGCAAACAGG
rnacentral:rRNA from 1 species